rnacentral:rRNA from 1 species
CCCUAGCGGCGGACGGGUGAGUAACGCGUGGGAACGUGCCCUUUGGUUCGGAAUAGCCCCGGGAAACUGGGAGUAAUACCGGAUACGGUCGAGAGACGAAAGAUUUAUCGCCGAAGGAUCGGCCCGCGUUGGAUUAGGUAGUUGGUGGGGUAAUGGCCUACCAAGCCGACGAUCCAUAGCUGGUUUGAGAAGAUGAUCAGCCACACUGGGACUGAGACACGGCCCAGACUCCUACGGGAGGCAGCAGUGGGGAAUCUUAGACAAUGGGGGAAACCCUGAUCUAGCCAUGCCGCGUGAGCGAUGAAGGCCUUAGGGUUGUAAAGCUCUUUCAGGUGGGAAGAUAAUGACUGUACCACCAGAAGAAGCCCCGGCUAACUCCGUGCCAGCAGCCGCGGUAAUACG